UGGACAUGUGUGAUCGCUCCUGAAGUCUCAGGGCGGACAAGCCUCUCCUAGUUGCAACUUGGAGGACCAUUGUGAGAAGAGUGGGGGACGUUGUAGCGAGGGGAAGAAGGCAGGCCCCCGGGUCUGGGCCUUAAAGAAUGAGCUCAAGUUUGGUCAAGGAGAAGGUGUCAUUCCUAACAACUUGGUUCUUUGCUCCUACUUCAUUCGGUUCCCUUCUUAGGCCUACCAAAGCCUCCCUCAUCUUCCCAGGCCAGCUUCAAAGUCUCUCCGGAAACUUUGAGCCCCGCCCCUUCAUUCAUUUUUCCGGCCAGAGCCGAAGCCUGAGGAGAGAAGUCUUCUCCUCCCAAACCCGGAGCCCUCGGAAGGCUGGAUGCUCCCCUCCUGCCCCGCGGCCAGGGCGGGCAGGGCAGGCAGGGCAGGCCAGGGCGGGCAGGGCAGGCAGGGCAGGCAGGGCAGGGCAGGCAGGGCAGGGCAGGGCAGGCAGGGCAGGGCAGGCAGGGAGGGAUCAGUGAAUCACAGGCACCGAGGCUACCGCCGACUCGGCCACCGGUCACCACAGGCCACCGGUCUCCGGAGAGGGCUCCACCCCUAUUUUGGAUGCUGCUAGGACCGCCCCGUCCCCACUCGCUGGAAGGGGACCCAGAGAGGGAGCCGGCCCAGCCUCAGUCUGAGCAGGCCCUGGGCGUCCAGGCCGGGCCGGGUCGGCCUCCUCCAGGGAAGGGAGAUGACCUCACCCAACGUCCGCCCCCGCCCCCCGCUGCAGCUCCCGGGGAGCCGCCGGGCGGGGGGGCGCUGAAUACGGCUGGGGGCACGGAGAUGCUUUGGAUCGAAGACCCUCCCAAGGGACUGCGCGCCCCGAGCCCCGAUCCGCGUCCCCGCCGCCGGAGGAGGUGCCCGCACGCUCGCGGCGCGCGCCGGGGCCGCCCCGCUCGGCCUGUGGGCGAUUUCCUCCGGACCCGAGCUCCCCGCCCGAGGAAGAAGAUGCAGACGUUUCUGAAAGGGAAGAGAGUUGGCUACUGGCUGAGCGAGAAGAAAAUCAAGAAGCUGNGGGGGGCGGUUGGCGGGACCCCGGCGCCCAGGUGCGCCGCGACCCCGGGCGGGGAAGCCCCCGCUGCCCGCAGCGCGCCGGGGACGCUGCUGAAGGUGCACGAGGGACCCGGGAGGCCCGGGAGCCCACGCCGUCUGCGUGGGCCGGCGGCUGCUUUCGGACUGAAGUGUCUGUCUUCCUUCCUUCCCUCCCCCCGUGGGGAGGGGCGGUUGGCGGGACCCCGGCGCCCAGGUGCGCCGCGACCCCGGGCGGGGAAGCCCCCGCUGCCCGCAGCGCGCCGGGGACGCUGCUGAAGGUGCACGAGGGACCCGGGAGGCCCGGGAGCCCACGCCGUCUGCGUGGGCCGGCGGCUGCUUUCGGACUGAAGUGUCUGUCUUCCUUCCUUCCCUCCCCCCGUGGGGAGAGGGCGCCGCUGUUUGUCGGCUUGCGGACCACCUGCCGUGCGCCCCGCGUGUGCAGCCCUUGGAGCUGUCAUGGCAAGUCACUGGGUUAAGCCUGUGUGCGGCGAGUAGCAACACUUGGCACGUAUGUGGUGAUUUGCUGUCUCAUUAGAGCCUCGCACCAGCCCUGGGAGUUGACCGCGGUGGUGAUUCUGGGCCACAUGUCUGAGAAGGGGGAGCCAUCUGCAGAGAGGUGGGGUCCUCCCGCAUGGGGUCCCGUGGCCAGGGAGUGGCUGGUGCAGAGGAGGUAAAUGCAUGUGGUGUAGAGUGGC
rnacentral:lncRNA from 1 species